ACUGGCGGCUUCCACAGACAGGUCCGCCCGCAAACAGCAGCCUGCGGGGCGCGGGAGGCUUCAAUUGUGGGAGCUGCUCUCUGCCCUCCGUGGGGGAAGGAGUCGGCUCCCUUCCUCCCCCUCCUCAACCCCAACUUCCCUCAGAUAGGGAAAACACGAGCCAGGCACCGAGCUCCUGCACGCUGAGGAAGUCUCUAUCCCCGAGAACCAUCCAGGAAUGAUGCCUGGAGUUGCAGAAUUUCAAAGUUUGGGUGAAGAAUCUGAUUGUGGUUCAGAGACAAUAGACAGCAAAUGACUGGAAAUCUUAGUGGUGGAUGAGAAGCAAGUUGAACAAGAAUAUCAAUAAGUUCCAAUUGAAGAGCGGAUUCUUUUGCAAUUCAGGCAUGUGCCGGCGAUAACGGGCGAGUUGGCAUGAAGAGAGGCAGAGAUGGAUUAAUUAUGCAGAGAACAUGGAAAUUCUGCUUAUCAUCGGCUAGCAAAGGAGCCCAGCUCACAUAAUCAGCAAACGAAGGGAGAGAAAAAAAUAACAAUGCAAUGGCACCUUCCAGCCCAUCAUCAGGAUUUUUUCUACCCCCUUGUAAUUAAAAAAUAACAUACACUUAUAGCCCUAUCUCCUGUGCAGGCAAGGAGUGGAUGUCCACAAAAUAAUUGCACUGGGAUAUUAGAGCUGGGAACAAGAGCUGUCCAUUCCUACUAUCCCUUACUCCCCCUUCCCCUGCCUCUCUCUCCUGGCCUCUACAAGGCAUUUCCUUUCUGUCUGCAAUCAGAAUCAGAUGGAUGUCUCAGGUGACAUCGUAUCUCAGUGUCCAUAAGUCCCAAACCUCACCCUUAUCAUGAUUCAGGCAAACAUGUAUAUGAUAAAUAUUUGACGUGCUGAAUCUGUGGGGUUUUAUCCUGAUCACCUGUGAGAUAUCUGCAGAAAAUCACUUUGAUUAGAUCUUUCCAAAUGGUCUUUCCAGUUCCAAACAGGCUGCUUAGGAAGGUUUUGUUGGUAAUAAUGUUUUCACUUUUGCCCACAAAGAUCAUGUUCCCUAUAUUUUUUUUCUUUUUCCAUUCUCAUGCAUUUUUAAACCCAAAGUAAAAAAAAUAUGAUGGUUUCAUUGUUUAGAUUAAAGUUUGAUUGCUCAAUAUGAUUCAGUAGCAACAUUUCUGCAAAAAGCAUGCAAAGACACUAUAAUAAAAAGUAGAAACCUAAUUUAUUGACAAAAAUAGAUUGAUCCUCCAUUUGUAUUAUCCAAUUUGCUGAUGGUAUUAAUAUUAUCUUUGCCUGUUAGGAUGCAAACACCUAUAUUAUACAGUGAUGCUCCAUAAGCAGAAUGCAUUCCAAAUAGAUCUUUUUGUUUUUACUUCUAUUUUGUACCUACUGCUGAUCAGGAGGCAUAGCUUGGGGUUUCUGAGGCCCUGGCCUCCCCCCCCCAGAUUCAUUGGUCUGCAAGAGAAAUAAAAUGUAGCCCUAAAAUGACUAAAAUGAUGCAACUAGGGAGGACGAGCUGUUUUUCCAAGAGCAGUAGGCCAGGAUUACAAAGCUGGCAGUCUCUAGAAAUUUAAUUUAUUCAUAGAGUUCCUCCAAAGCAGGGGACCAGUGCGGGGCGCAGUUUGCACACUAGUAAGAGAGCUCCUGCUGACUUUGAUGAUAAAAACUGAUUCUCUACUAAGUUUUUAAUUUUUUUCCAAUCUUUUAAAAUCCCCGUUUGGAAAUAGUGAUGAAACUGGAAAGAGAAAUCUGAUUCCACCGCACAGUUAUACAUGACAAAUCAGUAUUAAGUUUUCAUCAGUUUCUUUAAGAAAAAGAAGGCACAGACAAAACAGAUAUUUUUGAGACAAGAAACUGUCCAAAAUUCUGAUCUCAGAUACAUUCGUGCAAAUCGAGAAUAACUCCGUUGAGCUCUUAACUAAUGCUAUUAUAUUAAUAUAUCA